GAUGAACGCUGGCGGCGUGCCUAAUACAUGCAAGUCGAGCGAACGGACGAGAAGCUUGCUUCUCUGAUGUUAGCGGCGGACGGGUGAGUAACACGUGGAUAACCUACCUAUAAGACUGGGAUAACCUCGGGAAACCGGAGCUAAUACCGGAUGAUAUUUUGAACCGCAUGGUUCAAAAGUGAAAGACGGUCUUGCUGUCACUUAUAGAUGGAUCCGCGCUGCAUUAGCUAGUUGGUAAGGUAACGGCUUACCAAGGCAACGAUGCAUAGCCGACCUGAGAGGGUGGUCGGCCACACUGGAACUGAGACACGGUCCAGACUCCUACGGGAGGCAGCAGUAGGGAAUCUUCCGCAAUGGGCGAAAGCCUGACGGAGCAACGCCGCGUGAGUGAUGAAGGUCUUCGGAUCGUAAAACUCUGUUAUUAGGGAAGAACAUAUGUGUAAGUAACUGUGCACAUCUUGACGGUACCUAAUCAGAAAGCCACGGCUAACUACGUG
rnacentral:rRNA from 1 species